rnacentral:rRNA from 1 species
CCUACGGGUGGCAGCAGUGGGGAAUAUUGGGCAAUGGAGGAAACUCUGACCCAGCAACGCCGCGUUAAGGAUGAAGGUUUUCGGAUUGUAAACCUCUGUCGCGAGGGAUGAAGAAUGACGGUACCUCGUACGAAAGCCCCGGCAAACUACGGGCCAGCAGCCGUGGUAAUACGUAGGGGGCGAGCGUUGUCCGGAAUGUCUGGGGGUAAAGGGAGUGUAGGCGGGAUAUUAAGUUCUGUGUGAAAGCCUGCGGCGCAACCGCGGAAUUGCCCGUAAAACUGGUAAGCUGGAGUGCAGGAGAGGUAAGUGGAAUUCCCGGUGUAGCGGUGGAAUGCGUAGAUAUCGGGAGGAACACCAGAGGCGAAGGCGACUUACUGGACUGUAACUGACGCUGAGGCUCGAAAGCGUGGGGAGCAAACAGGAUUAGAUACCCUUGUAGUC